UACGGAGGGUGCAAGCGUUAUCCGGAUUCACUGGGUUUAAAGGGUGCGUAGGUGGGCAGGUAAGUCAGUGGUGAAAUCUCCGGGCUUAACUCGGAAACUGCCAUUGAUACUAUCUUUACUUGAAUACCGUGGAGGUCAGCGGAAUAUGUCAUGUAGCGGUGAAAUGCUUAGAUAUGACAUAGAACACCAAUUGCGAAGGCAGCUGGCUACACGAAUAUUGACACUGAUGCACGAAAGCGUGGGGAUCAAACAGG
rnacentral:rRNA from 1 species